UGUCCAAUUUGUUUCGUAGAAGUGAGUCAUUUUGCAAGACAUUUGGAAAGAAAACAUGAUGACGAAAGUCGAGUAAAAAAGAUUUUAUCUUUUCCAAAAGGAUCUAAUGAAAGGAAAACCUUAUGGGAUUAUUUACGCAAGGAAGGAAAUUUUCAUUUGUUUAGAGAAGAAAAAAAAGUGGUGGCUGUUCGAAGGCCCACGGAAGCCCAAGCAUUAGACUUUGACGAUUUUGUUGUUUGCGAAAACUGUUCUGGGGUGUACAAAAAAUUUUUUUCUAUAAGCAUGCUAAAAAUGCCAAGAAAAACACUGGUACAAAGUGUGGGCGACUAAAUGCCUUAACUCAAUCCCAAACAUUUUCAGCGGAUUCUCGCUGCCAAAACAGUUUUUUAUCACAGUCAAGAUUAAAGAAAGAGGUAUUUUGCAUUAUGAAAGCAGAUAAAAUAAGCGCCACCUCAAAAAAUGAUAUUUUUAAUAUGUUUAUUCGGGGAAACCCAUCUUAAAAAACAUAAAAGAAAGCAAAUUGUAACAGUAGCAACAAAAUGAGAGAAUUAGCAAGACUUUUGAUUGCUCUUAGAGAGUUCACACCUGUUCAGAACCUAAUUGAUGCUAUGAAACCAGAAUUAUUUGACGAUUUAGUUACGGCCACAAAAGUAAUUUCGGGAUUUAGCAAUGCCGAUAAAAGCUUUAAAUCUUCUUCAUUAGCACUUCAUAUGGGUACCACUUUAAAACAAGUAUGCGAUAUAACUAAUCGAAUGAUUUUAAAAAAAUUUCUAUUCUUUACCUUUAAAAACCCUAAUGAGGAAAAAAAGCAUUCCAGAUUUUAAAACAUUAGAGACCAGUUGGGCCAAUGAAAUUUCUUCAUUAGGCCUUAAAACAAUAAAAGAACGGCAAUGGGAAAACCCCAAAUACUGCCGGUGACAAGUGAAGUAAUUAAGUUUAAUAGUUUUGUCAAAAAUCAGGUUGAAGACAGUGCCAAAAAAUUAAACAAACUUUUAGAAAAGAAGGGGAAACAAAAUGACAAAAAUAAUUUACUUCCUUUAUAUAAAACCUUAGCAAAAGGAGUAAUGGCCCUUCUUUUAAUACUAAAUAGAAAACGCAUCGGUGAGAUUCAAUACCUUGAAAUUUCUACUUACAAAAGAUCAUUUGCGGACCCCAGUGUUCAACAAGAAAUUGCUGAAAGUUUAACUGUUUCAGAAAAACUAUUGUGUAGAAACUUUUAGAAGAAUUAUUUUAUUUUAAUUUCUCCUUUUUUAAACGAGAAAAUUGAGCUGAUGAUUAAAAUAAGAGAAAAAAUAAAAUUAAUUCCAAAAGAUAAUAAAUACAUUUUUGCAAAUCCCAAUUCGUCGAAAGGUUGGUUUCAUGGAACAAGUGUAAUUAAACAAUUUGCAAAAAGCUGUGGGGCAAAGGAUCCCAACUCUCUAACUUCUACCGAAUUUCGAAAACAGACUGCAACAAUUUUACAGAUUAUGGAUAUUCAUAAUACUGACAUGGAACAAUUAGCCACUUUUAUGGGUCAUACAAAAAAAACCAUGAAGAAUGGUAUAGACUUCCUCAAGAUCUAUACCAGACUGCAAAAAUAGCCAAACCAAUGAUCGCUUUAAAUAAAGGUGAUGUUAAUAUUUACAAAGGAAAGAGCUUAGACGAUAUCAAUAUAGAAGAAAAUGACUACUUGGAAAUUGAAAACAUAGAAACAGAAGUAAAUGAAAUAAAUGAAAACGUAGGAUUAGUGUACUCGCAUUGGUAAUUGCCUAAAAGUUUAAUAAUCCAUUUUUUAAAAUUAACAGAGCCUACUCAUUCUUGGAGUCCUAAAAGUAAUUGUAGCGAUGUAACUGACGAAAAAAUUGAACAAGCUAAUAAAAAUGAAAAAGUUUCGUCGAAGGGUAAAAGAAAGUUAUCUACCGAUGAAAUGACGCAUCCAAUGCAAAAUAAUAAAGUUACAAAAAGAAAGCCAACUACUGAAAAAACCGAAAGCAGUUCAAAUGCGAUUGCAGGCACCGAUGGACCGAAAAGGACAAACAAACGAUGCUUAAAUACUUUACAAGAUUCAUAAAAGAAAAAGAGUUCCGAAAAAAGCAGACGUACAGGAAUUUAAAAAAAAAAUAAAGCUGGAGAAAACUUUAAAUCAAUUGAUGGGGUAAAAAUUAAAACGUUUGUUUACAAUUCUUACAGAAUGUAGUUUUUGUGAAGUUUUUAUUAAAUAACGUGUUUCUAAA
rnacentral:lncRNA from 1 species